GUCCACUACUAAAAAAUAUUUUGCUCUUUCUUUUCAUAGUAUCAAACUGAUCUUUUAGUAUGUUGUUAGGCUAUAUCCCCUGACAUAAAAAAUGUAUGAUUGCAAAGUCUUGUUGCCAUGGUUACCAAAAUAUGCCACGCCCGAUGGUGAAAUUGACCCCAUUUUGUAAACAUGAUUACUACAUAACCAUUGAUGAUAAAAUUAUGAAAUAACUUUUAUUUACUCAAACACAACAAGGUCUAGGAGGUGAACUAAAACAUUUGAGAUUGAAGCAUUUUUAACAAUUCCACGGAUGAAAUAAUGGAAAAGCAUGCGGCUGUUUCCAAGAAAGUAGACACUGCUCUAAAAUUAUGGAACAGAAAUUAUUUCUUUUAGUUCAACUCCUAGAGCUGGUUAUGCUGAGUCUAUCCUGAAAAUUUCAUCAAGAUAGCUUCAAUACUUCUUGAGAUAUCCUGCAUGCAAUAUCGGAAAUUGUUGAUUUUCGGCAUUUUGAGAAAAAUGCAUUUAAAGUCUAAUAUUUAGUUUAUCAUCAACACAAUCGGGUCUAAAUUGUCAUAUGGCCUUACCAUGUUAUUAUUUACAAUGUCAGAAAGCUCCUGCUUCAUAUGUGAUGCCCUCUGUUUCCUUGUUCUUGUCAUCCUUCUUCUUUUUCUGGCCACGGAGGAUUUUUCUUCUUUUCCUUAUUGCAGGAGUGUUCCGAUGUUCCGCCUUCUUUACUCGUUGCUUGUCGGCUUUAAGCAUGUUUUGUUCAAAAUAUUGUCCUGGUACUAAUCCUAGCUCACUAAGAAUGUUCACUGCUGCUUUGGUACCAAUAUUAAAAUGAGCCACUGCAUCAUAUGCUCCAAAAUUCAGGACCUCGGCUCCAACAAAAACUGUUUUCGGCAACCGGUUCCAGAUCAUCCCGUUCAAGGACUCGUUUUGGUUCUGUGUUUUGCCAUCCAAACACUUUGUCAAGAGAUCAUUAUUGCUAAGCCUGAUAUAAAUAGGCUUAAUUAAGGCAAUAAUGUUGUCAGGAAGACCAGGUCCUGGUUUAUACAGAUGCGUAUUAUUGGCCACAUCUUGUUUGUAUCGACACCAGCUCUCAGGACCAUCUGGACAAUGGGUGUGCAGGUUCCGUCGCUUGGAAGAAACACAAUGAAACAGGCUGGCAAGUAUUGAGGAUUUCAUGGCAGCUAAAUUUCCAGAAUUACUUCUUAUGGCAAUUCCAUAAUAGUUCUGAAGUUUAUCGAUCAAAGCAUCGGUUAGCUUUCCUUUCCCUCCAAUUCCUUUAUUUUCUUUCUUCAGCUUCCUCAGUGCUGUGCCGACUCUCUUCUGAACGUGACCAACACAUUCUUUCUUCUCUACAUGAACUCCUUCAUAGCAGUUCUCCACCUCAUUGUAAGCCUUGCUGUCACCAUCGCCAAAGUACUCGGUGUAUUGUAGCUUACGGGAUUCCUCACUUCUUUCGAAGAUUCUCUUGAUCCCAGUAGGUUCCAUCGACGGUGCAGAUCCAACAUAGUUAAUUUUACACUUGCCAGUGUGCUUUUCCAGAAGAUCUGCUUUCUUGACAUCAUCAGAUUCUCUUUCAAUUGCUUUACACCCAUGGCAAACUUUUGUGAGGACCUCUAUGUCUAAGCAUUUGCCAGUUUCAAUGGACAAGGUUGUAACACAGCCAUUCAAUGAGGAGUGACCACGUCUUUGCCAUGUACCGUCGCACGAGACACCACAUUUCACAAUCUGGCUACUGUCGUCACCAUCAUGCAAUUCAAUUGCAGCAUCUUCCAUGGUUUCAUUUGCUACAGCCUUUGCUGCUUUUGAAAGGGCAGCAUUACAAGCACUGUAGGCCUUUGAAUGCAAGGGAGGUGGCAUGUUCAUAGAGGCACAAAACCGUUUCAUGGAUGAAUGUCCUUGUCCCAUACUUCUCAUGGCAUAAACCAAUCGCUUGUUGAUGUCAAAAGAAUGCUGGACUUUCUUGGAGGUGUGAAAGGUAUAAACCCAUCCACAUGUUUCACAACGUACACGAAGAUGGGAAGCACUACCUUUUUGUUCACGUGGGUUGUCUUCCAACACAAGACAAGCUGAAGAACCACAUUCUUUACACAUCACUUGCUGAAAUACAUCGCUCAGCAGCUCCAUAUCAACAAAACGGUACCCUGUUACCGUAGAUUUGACUGCGGGAUAUUCAUGUUGAGUAUUCUGAUUGCCAAUUUUGCGAGCAGAAGCAGAAGUAUUUUGACAUGACUCAGUCGAUUGCCCAGCAGAAUCUGUUUCGGUUUCACUCCCAAUACACGCUUUCUUCGCAGGAUUAUUAAACCUGUUGCCCUGAAAUUUCCGUUUCCUUGUCCUUGAACCUUGUCUUGGCAUUAUGAAUAUACAAUAUCACGCACAAUAUGGAUAACAACAAAGCUUGAACACAAUAUAAUCGCUACGACGUUUGAGAAUUUUGACACAACAAAGUUGGAAAGAACACAAAUGUUAAACCAGCGCCCCCGUGUUCCUUAAAGAAGCUUUCAGCGGUUGUCUAUUCAAGGCAGAGGGUGUACGUCAUGUAACAUAUUCAAAAUGGUUUUCAUUGGUGGCUUUUAUACAGGGUUUUUCAAACCAAAACAACCGUUGCUAGGGCGUUGCUAAGACAGGAAAUGACCAUGCGCUUAGGAAUUUGCUCUUUUUUCGUGGUUUAUAACUUUAUUUAGCCACUAAAACCUUUCUGAGGUGAUAAAGGAAGGUUCAAAGUAUAUAAAUCGACCGUUUCCAAAAAUUCCAAAAUUUCAAUAUUAAAGCCGAAAUUUUAGUAGUGGAC
rnacentral:lncRNA from 1 species